rnacentral:rRNA from 1 species
CAAGCGUUGGAAACUGUAUAACUAGAGUAACUUAGGGGGAACUGGAAUUCCUAGUGUAGAGGUAAAAUUUGCAGAUAUUAGGAAGAACACCGGAGGCGAAAGCGAGUUCCUGGGAGUUAACUGACGCUGAGGCGCGAAAGUGUGGGAAUCAAACAGGAUUAGAUACCCUGGUAGUCCACACUGUAAACGAUGUACACUGGAUGUUGGUUGAAAGAUCAGUAUCGAAGCAAAUGCGAUAAGUGUACCGCCUGGGGAGUAUACUGGCAACGGUGAAACUCAAAGGAAUUGACGGGCCCCUGCACAAGCGGUGGAGCAUGUGGUUUAAUUCGAUGAUACGCGAGGAACCUUACCAGGGCUUGACAUAUACACGAUGGUCAUAGAGAUAU